rnacentral:rRNA from 1 species
AAUGAACGCUGGCGGCAGGCCUAAAACAUGCAAGUCGAACGCCCUAGCAAUAGGGAGUGGCGCACGGGUGAGUAACAUGUGGGAAUAUGCCUUUUGGUACGGAACAACGUUUGGAAACGAACGCUAAUACCGUAUGGUCCCUCCGGGGUAAAGAUUUAUCGCCAAAAGAUUAGCCCGCACUAGAUUAGCUAGUUGGUAAGGUAAUGGCUUACCAAGGCGACGAUCUAUAGCUGUUCUGAGAGGAAGAUCAGCCACACUGGGACUGAGACACGGCCCAGACUCCUACGGGAGGCAGCAGUGGGGAAUAUUGGACAAUGGGGGAAACCCUGACCCAGCAACGCCGCGUGAGGGAAGAAGGUUUUCGGAUUGUAAACCUCUGUUCUUGGUGAAGAGAAGAAGACGGUAGCCAAGGAGGAAGCCCCGGCUAACUACGUGCCAGCCGCCGCAGUAAAAC